GAAAAGUGAAAGCAGAAUACCUGGUUAUCCUGAGGUCACUGUCUCCACACAUAGUGGUGUCCUUGAUGUUAGCUUGGGGCAAAAAGCCAGAGAAACGUUCUGAUUUCCAACAAGCUGGAACAGCUCUGCUGGUGAGGAGUGAAAGGAAACCCAGACUACCCAACUUCUCAUCUCUAUGGUCUUGGAGCAAGCUUGUGGUUGCAAUAGGAAUAGAAGGGACUUCCUUACUCCCAUCCUACCCUACCCCCUCAUCCUGCCUCAACCAGUCAUGCAGAGAGAUGCUGAAUGGCUGCCUGCUCUCAGGGGAAUGAUUUGUGGAGGUUUAAUUAAAAUAAUUUAAUCAAUCAAAUCCAACAAA
rnacentral:antisense_RNA from 1 species